rnacentral:tRNA from 1 species
UCUGGGGGUAGCCUAGUGGACAUGGCAUCUGCCUGGUAAGCGGAACACUGUGGGUUUGAUUCCCAUCCCUGGAC